rnacentral:rRNA from 1 species
CAGUCGCCGCGGUAAUACGUAGGGUGCGAGCGUUAAUCGGAAUUACUGGGCGUAAAGCGUGCGUAGGCGGUUCGUUAAGUCUGUUGUGAAAGCCCCGGGCUCAACCUGGGAAUGGCAAUGGAUACUGGCGAGCUAGAGUGUGUCAGAGGAUGGUGGAAUUCCCGGUGUAGCGGUGAAAUGCGUAGAGAUCGGGAGGAACAUCAGUGGCGGAGGCGGCCAUCUGGGACAACACUGACGCUGAGGCACGAAAGCGUGGGGAGCAAACAGGAUUAGAUACCCCCGUAGUCCCUGUCUCUUAUAC